rnacentral:rRNA from 1 species
UACGAAGGGGGCUAGCGUUGCUCGGAAUUACUGGGCGUAAAGCGCACGUAGGCGGCUUUCUAAGUCGGGGGUGAAAUCCUGGAGCUCAACUCCAGAACUGCCUUCGAUACUGGAAAGCUCGAGUCCGGGAGAGGUGAGUGGAACUGCGAGUGUAGAGGUGAAAUUCGUAGAUAUUCGCAAGAACACCAGUGGCGAAGGCGGCUCACUGGCCCGGUACUGACGCUGAGGCGCGAAAGCGUGGGGAGCAAACGGG